UUGAAACCCAAAGGACUUGGCGGUGCUUUAGAUCCACCUAGAGGAGCCUGUUCUAGAACCGAUAAUCCCCGUUAAACCUCACCUUUCCUUGUCUUAUCCGCCUAUAUACCGCCGUCGUCAGCUUACUCUGUGAGGAGUUUGUAGUAAGCAUAACCGGUACAACCUAAAACGCCAGGUCGAGGUGUAGCGAAUGGAGAGGGAAGAAAUGGGCUACAUUCAAUAACUUAUAAUGAAUACGAAUGAUGUCCUGAAAUGGAUAUCUAAAGGAGGAUUUAGUAGUAAGCAGAGAAUAGAGCGCCCUGCUGAAAUUGGCCCUGAAGCGCGUACACACCGCCCGUCACUCUCCCCGAGCUAAUCGACAUACACAUUACUAAUAAACCAGAACUGCAAAGGGGAGGCAAGUCGUAACAUGGUAAGCGUACCGGAAGGUGCGCUUGGAAAAACU
rnacentral:rRNA from 1 species